GGGUCAGUAGGUUGGUCGUGCCACCGGUACGUACUGGUCUCACUGAUUCCUCCUUCCUGAAGAACCGUAAUGCCAUUAAUUUGGUGUUGCGGGGAAACAGGACUGUUACUUUGAAAAAAUUAGAGUGUUUAAAGCAAGUUAACGCUUGAAUACAAUAGCAUGGAAUAAUGAAAUAGGACGAUCGAUCCUAUUUUGUUGGUUUCUAGGAUUGACGUA
rnacentral:rRNA from 1 species